rnacentral:misc_RNA from 1 species
UCUCCGUUGGUGAACCAGCGGAGGGAUCAUUAUCGAGUUUAUAACUCCCAAACCCUAUGUGAACUUACCACUUGUUGCUUCGGCGCGCGCUUCGGCGCCGCCGAGGACACUUAAACUCUUUGUUUUUAUAAGCAUUUCUGAGUGGCCGAAAGGCAAAAUACAAAUGAAUCAAACCUUUCAACAACGGAUCUCUUGGUUCUG